CCCUUAGAUGUUCUGGGCUGCACGCGCGCUACACUGAAGCGUUCAACGAGUAUUCGCCUUGCCCGGGAGGGUUGGGUAAUCUUUUGAAAACGCUUCGUGAUGGGGAUAGAUUAUUGCAAUUAUUAAUCUUCAACGAGGAAUUCCUAGUAAACGCAAGUCAUCAGCUUGCAUUGAUUACGUCCCUGCCCUUUGUACACACCGCCCGUCGCACCUACCGAUUGAAUGGUCCGGUGAAAUCUCGGGACGGCGGCUUGGUCGCUUGCGUCCGACUGCUGAAACUUGAUUAAACCAUAUCAUUUAGAGGAAGGUGAAGUCGUAACA
rnacentral:rRNA from 1 species